rnacentral:tRNA from 1 species
GUCCAAGUAAUUUAAUUAAAAUACUG